UUCUUUUAUUGUGAAUCAGACUAAAAUACAUUUUAGUUUGAGCGGUUAAAAUGAAAUAUGAUUUUGCCAUGAGAAUAAUGCCGAAACUGGCUAUGUAGUCAAACACUGUCGUCUGGCUAAAUUUAGAUCUACAAAUUGUUGUACAUCUCUUUGGUACAUUUAAUCAUCUAGACCAGUGAUUCCCAAAGUGGUCUAUAUAGACCCCCAGGGGUCUACGAAGACUUCCAGGGGGUCUACGAAAGUGAAAAUAAAAAUUGGGGGUCUAUGAGAUGUCCACGGGGGUCUACGGUAAUAGAUUUCAUUUAAGCAGAUCGUGACUUUAAUUUUUACAUUCAUUUAAUGUAAUUAUUUUGUAGACAAAUAUGUGAUGUGUACCUUGGUAAAUCCUUUAAAUAUUUAUCCUGCUAAUCAAACCAAAGAAUUGUAGUAUUUAGUCUCAAUACGUAUUUAAAAAGCUUCAUUUUGUCUACAUGUAACAAAUGUUUAACAACAAGAAAUGUACACUGUCCAGUGUUGGUUAUUUAAAACUGGGAUUCAUUCCUUCCUUGUCAAACAAGCGGUUGCCUAAGUGACUUUUUUUUAUAUUGAUACGAAACUAUUACGCUGUAGGAUCAUCUGAGACAAUGUCACCCUGACAAAAUAGAUAAAGAUUUGAAAAAUUUUCUAACCCUCAAAGAUAAAGUUCUGAAUAGACCCAUACAAUCUCUCUUCAACAUCAUAUAGAGAAGAUGUUGGUUUGUGAGUGUCUUACAAUAUCUAUUAACUUAUAGCAAAAUACGGAAAACACUAUUGGUAAAACAUGGAUUUUACCAGCCGUUGUAGUUGUGAAAACUGUUUUACACACACCUAAAUCUGAUAUUAUUAAAAUAAUUUCUUUAAGCAACAGUUCUAUGACACAUCGGUGGCAAGAGUUAUCAAAUUAAAAGCUUCUUAUGUGAUUCUUUGCAAAGGAAAUAUAUAUAGGUUGGGAUCAGUGGCGUCACAGGCUGUGACAGGGUGUAGCGCUGUGUGCUGCAGACUGCCUAAGGGUCGCCAGCUCCUUAUUUUUCCUCAGGUUAACCCACGUACUGGAUUCUCAGACAAUAGACCAAGUAGAAAAUUUUAUAUACCUUGGGAGUGUAGUCAGUAUAUGAGGUGGAACAGAUGAAGACAUUAAACGCCGUAUAAAUCUAGCGCGUCAGACAUUUACACAGCUAAAACCAACCUGGAAAUCUCCUCACAUCUCAAACAAGACUAAACUAUGAAUCUUUAACUCUAAUGUCAAGGCUGUCCUACUGUAUGGUUCUGAAACAUGGAGAAUUACGGAGGGGACAAUAAAAAAGUACAGACCUUCAUCAACAGAUGCCUGAGAAAUAUCCUAAAAAUACACUGGUACGACAAAGUAGAAAACACCAAACUGUGGGAGAUGAGUGGACAAAAAAAUAUAGAAGUGCAGAUCUUAGAGAGGAAGUGGAGAUAGAUUGGUCACACCCUUAGAAAAGAUACCAGCAACAGAGCUAGGCAGGCCUUAGAGUGGAAUCCCCCAGGGAACAAGACGCAGAGGAAGACCAAAAAGAACAUGGUGACGCAGUGUACUAGAAGAAGCAGAGAAGACCGGGAAGAGCUGGGAAACCAUUAAAAAAAACUAGCAAGAGACCGUGGAGAGUGACGUGUUUUUGUCGAGGCCCUAUGUUCCAUGAGGAACUCAAAGGAAUGAUGAUGAUGAUGAACCCACGACAGCUUUCCCAUGUUUCGGUAUAGUUGCAAGGCAGCAGCGUUUUGAAUUCAUUUUUCCUUCUGCUAUGUGGCUAAUGAGCCCUUCCUGCUUGAAGCCUACUGGCUAAGGCGCCAGUUACUCACCUUCACCCUUCUCCUUUAGUAAAAAAGGUUACGCGGACACGUGAAAGAUCAAGAAAUACACGAGAAACUCUUUGCGAAAACUUUUACACUGAUUCUUAAUACAAAUAAAUGAAUUAAUAUUUAAUGUUGGUAUGUCUUCUUCAUAGAAUAUAUGAAACAUGACAUCAGUAGGAACAGAUGAUAAGCCUGGGUAAAUAAACAUUUCCAGUGUGUUUGAUGAUUCUAGCAAUACAUAUUAAUUGCUAAUUUAAUUGGUUUACAUUUCAUUUGAAUUUAAUCAAUAAAAAUUUGUUAUUAUUUAAUACUUAAUUUGUAGCUUUAAAUUGCAUUUUCACUCUUCAACUCACUAAAAUUAGAAAUUAGUUUUUUAAAAAAUUGCAAAAAAAAAAUGCAAUAUAAGUUAAGCAGGGGGUCUACCGAAAAGCAGAAAACAUGGCAAGGGGUCUACGAGACAAAAAAGUUUGGGAACCACUGAUCUAGACUCUAAUUUGGGAAUAUUAUUAUUAAUUGAAAGAUGAAUGAAGAUUACUGCCAGUGAAGAACAUUUGUGAGUGUAUGACGUGCCCAUAAGAUGCCACAUUUUCUUUCAUGAUGAACUGUGUACUAAUGAAGAUGAUUCUGGAAUGUUAUGAACAUUGACAUGAAUAUGAGGAACUGUCAAGUCAAGAUGAAGAUGUCAAGAUUUUAUGUUUGUUGUCUUCCCCUUAAAUUGAAAAGCCCUUGUAAGACUUGACAGUAGUGGAAAAAUAUUGACAUUUUUUUUUUUCAAGGGGGGGAGGAAUCUGUUAGACACCUUAUUUAUAUAGUUUAGUUAUUUAGCGACGCACCAUAGAAGACGCAUAUUGAACGGGACUAGUGACGUUUGGGAUAUGUUGGGUUAGAGACCGGAAAAUCAGUUAGCGAUAGAAUACUCCAGGGUAACGACGUGUUUAGUGACAGAGACUUCUACUGUGGCCUUUUAUUAGAAUAAAUAUAUGUGAAGUUGUU